AUUAUUAUGUAGCAUAGGGAAAUGGGGUACUAUGAGAAGAAAGUAGACAAUGAAGCAGGUUUGAAUUUUGUUAGGCUCUUAAGCAGCUGAAAUUAUCAUGUAUUGUGAGCUUUGAGCCAACCCUAUUUCAAUGUUGUUUGGGAAUUGUUCUUUUUGGAAUGGAGAAGUAAUCAUAGCAUGUAUUUGUCAUUU